rnacentral:rRNA from 1 species
GAUGAACGCUGGCGGCGUGCCUAAUACAUGCAAGUCGAGCGAAUGGAUUAAGAGCUUGCUCUUAUGAAGUUAGCGGCGGACGGGUGAGUAACACGUGGGUAACCUGCCCAUAAGACUGGGAUAACUCCGGGAAACCGGGGCUAAUACCGGAUAAUAUUUUGAACUGCAUGGUUCAAAAUUGAAAGGCGGCUUCGGCUGUCACUUAUGGAUGGACCCGCGUCGCAUUAGCUAGUUGGUGAGGUAACGGCUCACCAAGGCAACGAUGCGUAGCCGACAGUAGAGGGUGAACGGCCACACUGGGACUGAGACACGGCCCAGACUCCUACGGGAGGCAGCAGUAGGGAAUCUUCCGCAAUGGACGAAAGUCUGACGGAGCAACGCCGCGUGAGUGAUGAAGGCUUUCGGGUCGUAAAACUCUGUUGUUAGGGAAGAACAAGUGCUAGUUGAAUAAGCUGGCACCUUGACGGUACCUAACCAGAAAGCCACGGCUAACUACGUGCCAGCAGCCGCCGUAA